GAUGUGGUGGCUCAAUGGUAGAGCUUUCGACUCCAGUCUUGAUACGGUUGUAAUCGAAGGGUUGCAGGUUCAAUUCCUGUCCAUGUCA
rnacentral:tRNA from 2 species